GGACUACAGGGGUAUCUAAUCCUGUUCGCUCCCCACGCUUUCGUACCUCAGUGUCAGGAGUAGCCCAGCAAGCUGCCUUCGCCAUUGGUGUUCCUAGUAAUAUCUACGCAUUUCACUGCUACACUACUAAUUCCACUUGCCUCUGCUGUCCUCUAGCAUGCCAGUAUGCGACACAUCGAUAUGGUUGAGCCACACGAUUUAACAUCACACUUAACACGCCACCUACGCACGCUUUACGCCCAGUGAUUCCGGAUAACGCUUGGACCCUACGUAUUACCGCGGCGGCUGGCAC
rnacentral:rRNA from 1 species